UACGAAGGGGGCUAGCGUUGCUCGGAAUCACUGGGCGUAAAGGGCGUGCAGGCGGUUUGUUAAGUGCAGGGUGAAAGCUCCCGGCUCAACUGGGAGAGGUCCUUGCAUGCUGGCAAACUCGAGGGAGGCAGAGGAAAGUGGAAUUCCCGGUGUAGUGGUGAUAUGCGUAGAUAUCGUAAGGAAGACCAGUGGCGAAGGCGGGUCUCUGGACAGUUCCUGACGCUGAGGCACGAAGGUCAGGGGAGCAAACGGG
rnacentral:rRNA from 1 species